GCCAGGUAUGGUGGCGGGUGCCUGUAAUCCCAUCUACUCAGGAGGCUGAGGUGGGAGGAUCACCUGAGCCCAGGAGGUCAAGGCCGCAGUGAGCCAUGGUCACGCCACUGCACUCUAGCCUGGGCCACAGAGUGAAAUCCUGCCUGUC
rnacentral:sRNA from 1 species